GAUGAAGAACGCAGCGAAAUGCGAUAAGUAAUGUGAAUUGCAGAAUUCAGUGAAUCAUCGAAUCUUUGAACGCACAUUGCGCCCCCUGGUAUUCCGGGGGGCAUGCCUGUUCGAGCGUCAUUUCACCACUCAAGCCUCGCUUGGUAUUGGGCGACGCGGUCCGCCGCGCGCCUCAAAUCGACCGGCUGGGUCUUCCGUCCCCUCAGCGUUGUGGAAACUAUUCGCUAAAGGGUGCCGCGGGAGGUCACGCCGCAAAACAACCCCAUAUCUAAUGUUGACCUCGGAUCAAGUAGGGAUACCCGCUGAACUUAAGCAUAUCAAUAAGCGGAGGA
rnacentral:misc_RNA from 1 species